GCCCAUCCUCACUUCAAUCUGGACACGACUGCCAGUGUGGUCAAAGAAAGUCAAGUGCCUUGUGAGAUGCAGGACACCACUGCCAGUGAGUUCAAAGAAG